GUAGGUGGCAAGCGUUGUCCGGAAUUAUUGGGGCGUAAAGCGCGCGCAGGCGGUUCGUUUAAGUCUGAUGUGAAAGCCCACGGGCUCAACCGUGGAGGGUCAUUGGAAACUGGAGAACUUGAGUACAGAAGAGGAAAGCGGAAUUCCACGUGUAGCGGUGAAAUGCGUAGAGAUGUGGAGGAACACCAGUGGCGAAGGCGGCUUUCUGGUCUGUAACUGACGCUGAGGCGCGAAAGCGUGGGGAGCAAACAGGAUUAGAUAGCCUGGUAGUCCACGCCGUAAACGAUGAGUGCUAAGUGUUAGGGGGUUUCCGCCCCUUAGUGCUGCAGCUAACGCAUUAAGCACUCCGCCUGGGGAGUACGGCCGCAAGGCUG
rnacentral:rRNA from 1 species